rnacentral:rRNA from 1 species
UACGAGGGGGGCUAGCGUUGUUCGGAAUCACUGGGCGUAAAGCGCACGUAGGCGGCUUUUUAAGUCAGGGGUGAAAUCCUGGAGCUCAACUCCAGAACUGCCUUUGAUACUGAGAAGCUUGAGUCCGGGAGAGGUGAGUGGAACUGCGAGUGUAGAGGUGAAAUUCGUAGAUAUUCGCAAGAACACCAGUGGCGAAGGCGGCUCACUGGCCCGGUACUGACGCUGAGGUGCGAAAGCGUGGGGAGCAAACAGG